rnacentral:rRNA from 1 species
GAUGAACGCUGGCGGCGUGCUUAACACAUGCAAGUCGAACGGAAAGGCCCAAGCUUGCUUGGGUACUCGAGUGGCGAACGGGUGAGUAACACGUGGGUGAUCUGCCCUGCACUUCGGGAUAAGCCUGGGAAACUGGGUCUAAUACCGGAUAGGACCACAUUUUGGAUGGUGUGGUGGAAAGUUUUUCGGUGUGGGAUGAGCUCGCGGCCUAUCAGCUUGUUGGUGGGGUAAUGGCCUACCAAGGCGUCGACGGGUAGCCGGCCUGAGAGGGUGUACGGACACAUUGGGACUGAGAUGCAGCCCAGACUCCGGCAGGAGGCAGCAGGGGGGAAUGUUUCACAGUGGGCGCAAGCGUGAGGCAGCGAGGCCGCGUGGGCGAUGACGGCCUUCAUGUUGUAAACACCUUUCGCUAAGGAAGAGGCGUUUUUGUGACGGUACCUGGUGAAGAAGCACCGGCUAACUACGUG